AUAAUUAUUUACGUUAUUUCUGCGGGAUUACUUAUGCUUUAUUAUUGUGUUUUGUCUUGCUUUGGUUCCUUAUUUUGUCUUUGUUCCAAUGCAGCUUUCCAUUUUAUCCUAUGCGCCGAGGGUCGUUUGGAAACAGCCUCUCUGCCCUUUCUGGUAGGGGUAAGGCUCGUCUACAUAAUACCCUCCCCGGACCCACCUGGUGGGAGUAUACUGGGUAGUUGUUGUUGUUGUUGUU
rnacentral:lncRNA from 1 species